rnacentral:rRNA from 1 species
UGAGUGCGAGCUGCUACGGCAGCGAAGUUGGUGAUGUCAUGCUUCCAAGAAAAGCCCUAUACCCGUUAAGGCAUCAUGGCCUGUACCCGAAACCGACACAGGUGGGGUGGUAGAGAAUACCGAGGGGCGCGAGGUAACUCUCUCUAAGGAACUCGGCAAAAUGGCCCCGUAACUUCGGGAGAAGGGGUGCCACCGCAAGGUGGUCGCAGUGAAGAGGCCCAGGCGACUGUUUACCAAAAACACAGGUCUCCGCUAAGUCGCAAGACGAUGUAUGGGGGCUGACGCCUGCCCAGUGCCGGAAGGUUAAGGAAGCUGGUCAGCGCAAGCGAAGCUAGCGACUGAAGCCCCGGUGAACGGCGGCCGUAACAAUAGCGGUCCUAAGGUAGCGAAAUUCCUUGUCGGGUAAGUUCCGACCCGCACGAAAGGCGUAACGAUCUGGGCGCUGUCUCGGAGAGAGGCUCGGCGAAAUAGAAUUGUCUGUGAAGAUGCGGACUACGUGCACCCGGACAGAAAGACCCUAUGAAGCUUUACUGUAGCUUGGUAUUGUGCCCGGGCUCGCAAUGCGCAGGAUAGGUGGGAGGCUUUGAUCAUCGGCUUGCGGGUCGAUGUGAGCCAACGGUGAGAUACCACUCUUUGCGAGCUAGGGUUCUAACGGCCACCCGUCAUCCGGGGGCCGGACAGUACCUGGUGGGCAGUUUGACUGGGGCGGUCGCCUCCUAAAAGGUAACGGAGGCGCGCAAAGGUUUGCUCAGGCUGGUUGGAAAUCAGCCGACGAGUGUAAAAGCAGAAGCAAGCUUGACUGUGAGACCAACAAGUCGAACAGGGAGGAAACUCGGCUUUAGUGAUCCGACGGUUCUGAGUGGAAGGGCCGUCGCUCAACGGAUAAAAGUUACUCUAAGGAUAACAGGCUGAUCUCCCCCAAGAGUUCACAUCGACGGGGAGGUUUGGCACCUCGAUGUCGGCUCAUCGCAACCUGGGGCUGAAGUCGGUCCCAAGGGUUGGGCUGUUCGCCCAUUAAAGCGGUACGCGAGCUGGGUUCAGAACGUCGUGAGACAGUUCGGUCCAUAUCCGGUGCACGCGCAGGAAUAUUGAGAGGAUUUCUCCCUAGUACGAGAGGACCGGGAGGAACGCACCUCUGGUGUACCAGUUAUCGUGCCAACGGUAAACGCUGGGUAGCCAUGUGCGGAGUGGAUAACCGCUGAAAGCAUCUAAGUGGGAAGCCCACCUCAAGAUGAGUAUCCCCAUGGCGUAAGCCAGUAAGGUCACGGGAAGAACACCCGUUGAUAGGCUCUAUGUGGAAGCGCAGUAAUGCGUGAAGCAGAGGAGUACUAAUAGACCGAGGGCUUGACC